rnacentral:rRNA from 1 species
CCGGCUUUUGUGGGGUGCUCGAGUGGCGAACGGGUGAGUAACACGUGAGUAACCUGCCCUUGACUUUGGGAUAACUUCAGGAAACUGGGGCUAAUACCGGAUAGGAGCUCCUGCUGCAUGGUGGGGGUUGGAAAGUUUCGGCGGUUGGGGAUGGACUCGCGGCUUAUCAGCUUGUUGGUGGGGUAGUGGCUUACCAAGGCUUUGACGGGUAGCCGGCCUGAGAGGGUGACCGGCCACAUUGGGACUGAGAUACGGCCCAGACUCCUACGGGAGGCAGCAGUGGGGAAUAUUGCACAAUGGGCGGAAGCCUGAUGCAGCAACGCCGCGUGCGGGAUGACGGCCUUCGGGUUGUAAACCGCUUUCGCCUGUGACGAAGCGUGAGUGACGGUAAUGGGUAAAGAAGCACCGGCUAACUACGUGCCAGCAGCCGCGGUGAUACGUAGGGUGCGAGCGUUGUCCGGAUUUAUUGGGCGUAAAGGGCUCGUAGGUGGUUGAUCGCGUCCGAAGUGUAAUCUUGGGGCUUAACCCUGAGCGUGCUUUCGAUACGGGUUGACUUGAGGAAGGUAGGGGAGAAUGGAAUUCCUGGUGGAGCGGUGGAAUGCGCAGAUAUCAGGAGGAACACCAGUGGCGAAGGCGGUUCUCUGGGCCUUUCCUGAC